UGCUGUGCAAUGCCUGUGCGCAUGCGGUGCUGGGCCAUGUGCCCGUGAAGGGGCAGCCUGGUGCAUAGAGGGGCUGUGCAACAGAAAGGGCCCUGCUGUCAGCGCUGUUCGCUUCCAUUGAAUAAGGAGAAGAAACAUUUUCUGUGUGGGUGUCAGCUGGGAACGCCAGCCUCCCAGCACUUGGGAAUACCCGCUGAUCCUCCCGCAGGCAGAGAAACAGCCAUUGUUCCCAGUUCAUCACACGGCAACCCAGAGGAAGUCCCUGGAAUCACUGGUUUGACAGCCCUGCUUGUGACCUUGCAUUCCUAGCCAUGCUGUGCUCCCUGUCCACACUCCUGGCAUCACUAUCUGCCAGUCCAUGGCUGCUCUCCCAGAAGACAUCCUCCCCCCUCUGGAAGCAGAAGAAUGGUCAGAGCUUCACUGAGAAGGUGACAUUUGAGAAAAAGCCUGAAGGACAUGAGGAGUGAGGCAGGGCCAAUGCACCUUAUAGCCUUAUCCAUAAAGGCUGUGGGUAAAAUUGUAAUUUCCAGAUAUCUCGCCUGGCUUUAGUACAUCUGCAUAUCAACAGGUGUUCAGAGGUGGAAAGAAGUAUGGCUUCCAUUUUGCAGAUGAAGAAAACAGGGAGAGCUUCUAUGCUUGGAAAACCAAACCACCUCCACAUGCCAUGGAGCCAGGCCCUCAGCUCCAGAAGGAUAGAAGCCCCAUUUUUUGGGACCUUGCCCUUU